CAAAUAUCUUGUUAUGACGAAAAGAAGAUGUACUUGUGCUUUCAAAUAAGGUUACUGGUGGGCUGCGUGAUCUGGAUUGUCGUGACAUGAUGCGCUAGCACUUGUUGCGAAAUUUGGACUCCGAGGUAUUUUUCUCACAAUAACUCCGAGGUAUGCAAGAGUUUUCAAGAGUAAAAAGUGAGUACUUGAAAAGAGUCACAAUAGUUAUGAUUGGUAUGCUAGAGUUUUCAGAGUAAAAAAUGAGUACUUGAAAAAGGAAAUCAUAGAAGACUCGUUGUUUAUGUGGUCGAAUUUACUUCCACAUGUUCAUUGCAGUGGUUAUUCCGAGCAAAAUAAAGGUGAGUAUAAUAAAGGUGAAUAUUCCACAUGAAACAACGAUGUUAAUAGUUGAAUGAAGUCAUCAACAAUACAACAUUGUAUGCAAAUACAGUAUUGUUUGUCAUUAACUAAACGACAACACUUGUAUGUACUUUGUACAAUUCUAUCUAUGACUUUUGGUAGUACUGCAUCAUGUCAGUGACAUUUCAUUAACGUUUUGAGGUUGUCUUUUGUAUGUACAUUGUAUAUGCCUCAAUGUAGGUUCCAGUUGAAGGCAUUGUGUAUACAUGAUGCAUAAUGUCUUAAUAUUUAAGUAGUUUGUAUUUAAAUUGUACUCUGUAGGUUACUACAAUGUUUAUGAGUUUAUGACUUGUGGAAAUUCUCCUACAAGUCAUAGUAUAAUAUGGCUACACUUGGAAAUGA